AGCACAAGAUCAAAUGCAAAUAUCACUUCUUUUAUUUUUCUUUCAUUAUUACUUUCUUUCCAAAAUUUUAAGCAAUGAACAAAUCAAGAAGAUGCUUCACAUUGUUGUUUAUCCUCCUCUCACAUCGAAUCCGGCCGGUAAUCGGCGAAAGUGAGCAGCAGAAGACCACUAAGGAAGACAAACCAUCUCCCUUCCAGUUCGUAUCGAACACCAUGUCUUGUGAAGAAAGCACAUAAAAUUCUGUCGAGAAAAUCAAAACCAUCGUCCAUGAUUUCCGGUUGCAGUUCACUUCACCCAAGCCAGGGGAAGAAGCAGUGAUGAAAAACGUCGAAACUAAAAAUGGAAAUGUCGAAGAAACUGUGAAACCUGCGGCAAAAACUGAGCCAAAGACAGCUAAACCUGCAGCAGAAACCGAGCAGAAGACGGCUAAACCUGCAGCAGAAACUGAGAAGAAGACGGCAGAGAAGGUUGAAGAGGCUUCCUCUGAUAAAAAAGAAUCCCGUGAUGAGCUUUAAACAAAACCCAUAAAUCGUAUCAGUAGAGUUAUUUGUUGUUUCAUGUUUGUAAGUCGGUUUUUUUUGUUAUAAAUUUAUGAUCUUUU